UACGUAGGGCGCUAGCGUUGUCCGGAUUUAUUGGGCGUAAAGGGCGCGUAGGCGGUUUGCUAAGUCGAAUGUGAAAACUCUGGGCUUAACCCAGAGCCUGCAUUCGAUACUGGCAGGCUAGAGUUCUGGAGGGGAUAGCGGAAUUCCUGGUGUAGCGGUGAAAUGCGUAGAUAUCAGGAGGAACACCGGUGGCGAAGGCGGCUAUCUGGACAGAGUCUGACGCUGAGGCGCGAAAGCUAGGGGAGCAAACAGG
rnacentral:rRNA from 1 species